rnacentral:rRNA from 1 species
GACGAACGCUGGCGGCGUGCUUAACACAUGCAAGUCGAACGGAAAGGCCCUGCUUUUGUGGGGUGCUCGAGUGGCGAACGGGUGAGUAACACGUGAGUAACCUGCCCUUGACUUUGGGAUAACUUCAGGAAACUGGGGCUAAUACCGGAUAGGAGCUCCUGCUGCAUGGUGGGGGUUGGAAAGUUUCGGCGGUUGGGGAUGGACUCGCGGCUUAUCAGCUUGUUGGUGGGGUAGUGGCUUACCAAGGCUUUGACGGGUAGCCGGCCUGAGAAGGUGACCGGCCACAUUGGGACGGAGAUACGGCCCAGACUCCUACGGGAGGCAGCAGUGGGGAAUAUUGCACAAUGGGCGGAAGCCUGAUGCAGCAACGCCGCGUGCGGGAUGACGGCCUUCGGGUUGUAAACCGCUUUCGCCUGUGACGAAGCGUGAGUGACGGUAAUGGGUAAAGAAGCACCGGCUAACUACGUG